AUUGAACGCUGGCGGCAGGCCUAACACAUGCAAGUCGAGCGAGCGGCGGACGGGUGAGUAAUGUCUGGGAAACUGCCUGAUGGAGGGGAUAACUACUGGAAACGGUAGCUCAUACCGCAUACCAUCAGAUGUGCCCAGAGGGGGUUGGCUAGUAGGUGGGGGAACGGCUCACCUAGGCGACGAGCGCUAGCUGGUCUGAGAGGAUGACCAGCGACCCUGGACAUGAGACACGGUCCAGACUCCUGAGGGAGGCAGCAGUGGGGAAUAUUGCACAAUGGGCGCAAGCCUGAUGCAGCCAUGACGCGUGUGUGAAGAAGGCCUUCGGGUUGUAAAGCACUUUCAGCGUGGAGGCGUUACCCGCAGAAGAAGCACCGGCUAACUCCGUGCCAGCCGCCGCGGUAAUUC
rnacentral:rRNA from 1 species